rnacentral:pre_miRNA from 1 species
AGUUUUGCUGGUUUGCAUUCAGCUUUGUUGCUGUGCUGUGCAAAUCCAUGCAAAACUGA